CGGGUCUUCAACUCAAUCUCAGGCCCCCCACAACUGUGGAGGCCUGUCUCACCCCAUCACACUUGCUGGUGCAUUCGUCUGCUCUGGCAGAGCCUACCGGCUUGUCGCUGCAGCCCCCUGUGGCUUUUGCACGAUGGCUGCUGGAUGAACCUGGGUGACCGGUUGGGAUCUCCUCAGCACUUUUCUUCUCAACUAGAGGAGAAUGACCAGGAAGAUGGAAAUGGCCAAGGGACAAUUUCAGCCUCAAACUGCUUCCUGGACAGUGUUACAGGGGAAGGACUCUUGUGGUUGCUGAACUACAGCAGCUUUCAAGAUGAGGAAAAAUAAACAGAAAGGGGAUGUACGUGAUGGUUCUCAGUCAUCCAGGUCAGUGGUCCCCAACCUUUGUUGCGACACCGACCGGUUUAUGUCUGACAAUAUUUUCACGGACUGGCCUUUAAGGUGUUACGGAAAAAUACAACAAAAUAAAACCAGUACCAAAAAAAGAAUAUUAUUCAUAACACACGAGGAAAAGGCCCUGGGAAACAGAGUUAACGAAAAACAAUAAAAAAACAAUAAAAAACUUAACAUAAAUGUCACACCUGAGCCUCAACUCUCGCGGCCUGGUACCAAAAGACUCACGGACCGGGGCUUAGGGACCGCUGAUCGAGAUCAUUGUAGUUUGUCUGCCUGCAGACCGUGACACAAAACUCAGAGUGGAGAAAGAGAGAGGUGGACCCAGGAGCAGACACAGGUGAGGAGGCAGAACUACAUUGACAUGAGGGACACUGACAAAGAAACCUCAGACCCGAUACUGACACAGAACCAAAACCUAGGAACAAACAAAGACAUCAAGAAAUCAAAGAUUAACAAUACAAAACAGAAAAUGCUGCGUCACCGACCCAGGACUGUGACACUUUGAAAGAAAAGCAUCUGUACUACUUUAAGUUUCUAUCUCAUCAGAGAAGCUUCUUCAGUUCUAAGAGCAAUUGGUGGAGAGUCCCAGAUUUGAAGAAGCUUCUCAGAUAAGAGGAACACUCUCCAGUUGGUUCCUAUAAUUUGCUAGGUUUUUGAUUCCCUUUUAUACUCCCUAACCAUCUCUUCAACCUAAGACGCAGACAAAGAAGACUUUGUCCCAAGAGUUUGCACCUUGUGUUCACGGUCAGGGAACACCAGAGAGCACAAAAUCAACUUCUAAGUGAAAAGAUACAGGUCUAUUUCACUAUACAUGCACUCCAAAACAGGAUUAAUCAGACUCUACAGGAACUCAACACUUCUACCCUCCCCUAUUUUCAAGUUUGUGGACAAGGCUUAGAGCCCAACAUUCGAAAGGAAAAGACCGACAACACUGGAAAUUCCAUACUUUGCUAAUAAAAACUCCCCAGUCAAUACCGGCACAAUACUUCACCCAUUUUUCCUGACUGUCCUUGGUUGUGAGAACUUUUCAGACAAGAAUCUCACUGAACCUGAAAAGAAAGUGCUAGCCAAACGACUCAAUUUUGUAAUUUCUCUCCCACUCAAGAUGGCGGCGCGUGAACAACGCGAGGCUCAGUGUCUCUCCAGAAUCUGCUAUUUAGCGUUUUUUUUUUUUUUUUUUUUUUUUUAUCUACUUUUAACCGGAUUAUUCAUCCAGAAUUGCUGUGCGUUGCUGACCUACAGCAGACAAGAGCUUCUGGACAUCUGGACUCAUAACUCCAACAGUUUUAUCGCCGAUCUCCGACUCAUCCCAGAGAUCUCCAGAACACCGGAGGCUGCUCACUCUCCCCGGCCAGGCGGAAGUGCACGCAGACGGCGCCGAGAUCGUAAACAAAGGCGAGGUAGGCGCGGAGGGCUACGGGCUAAGCUAAAGCUAACACCACACCGGCUGCCUUUACCCAGUAUUUUCCUCGCCAAUGUACGUUCUCUGGCAAACAAAAUGGAUGAGAUACGGCUCUCCAUCACUAACAACAGACGGAUUAUGGACUUAAAUGUCAUGGUUUUCACCGAAACAUGGUUGAACAACAGCUGUCCUGCUAACAGAGUGUGUGGCGUGCA
ensembl:lncRNA